AAAUGCAGUCUACCCCUGAACGUGCCCUAUCCUGUCUGAUCUUGAAAGCUAAGCAGGGUUGGGCCUGGUUAGUACUUGGAUGGGAGACCACCUAGGAAUAGCAGGUACCGUAGGUG
rnacentral:rRNA from 1 species